rnacentral:rRNA from 1 species
UACGAAGGGGGCUAGCGUUGUUCGGAAUUACUGGGCGUAAAGGGCGCGCAGGCGGUCCUUCAAGUCAGGCGUGAAAGCCCGGGGCUCAACUCCGGAACUGCCUUUAAGACUGCAUCGCUUGAAUCCAGGAGAGGUGAGUGGAAUUCCGAGUGUAGAGGUGAAAUUCGUAGAUAUUCGGAAGAACACCAGUGGCGAAGGCGGCUCACUGGACUGGUAUUGACGCUGAGGUGCGAAAGCGUGGGGAGCAAACAGG